AUACGAAGGGGGCUAGCGUUGUUCGGAAUCACUGGGCGUAAAGCGCGCGUAGGUGGAUCAAUUAGUUGAGGGAGAAAUCCCGGGGCUCAACCUCGGAACUGCCUUCAAUACUGUUGAUCUUGAGACCGAGAGAGGUGAGUGGAAUUCCUAGUGUAGAGGUGAAAUUCGUAGAUAUUAGGAAGAACACCAGUGGCGAAGGCGGCUCACUGGCUCGGUACUGACGCUGAGGUGCGAAAGCGUGGGGAGCAAACAGGAUUAGAAACCCCAGUAGUCC
rnacentral:rRNA from 1 species